GACGAACGCUAGCGGCAUGCCUAAUACAUGCAAGUCGAGCGAACAGAUGAAGUGCUUGCACUUCUGACGUUAGCGGCGAACGGGUGAGUAACACGUAAGGAAUCUACCUAUAAGCGGGGGAUAACAUUCGGAAACGGGUGCUAAUACCGCAAAAUAUCUUCUUCCGCAUGGAAGAAGAUUGAAAGACGGCUCUGCUGUCACUUAUAGAUGACCUUGCGGUGCAUUAGCUAGUUGGUGGGGUAACGGCCUACCAAGACGAUGAUGCAUAGCCGACCUGAGAGGGUGAUCGGCCACAAUGGGACUGAGACACGGCACAAACUCCUACAGGUGGCAGCAGUAGGGAAUCUUCCGCGAUGGGCGAAAGCCUGACGGAGCAAUGCCGGGUGAGUGAAUAAGGCCUUCGGGUCGUAAAGCUCUGUUAUAAGAGAAGAACAAAUUGUAGAGUAACUGAUACAGGCUUGACGGUAUCUUAUCAGAAAGCCACGGCUAACUACGUGCCAGCAGCCGCGGUAA
rnacentral:rRNA from 1 species